UCAGGAAGCAUUUAAAUAAUUUACAGCCUGACUUUGCUGACCUUAGUUUGCCUGCUGAGAUAAAAAGGAAUUUGUUCCCAUAAGAGGACGUGGUGGAAGCGUACAUCAGGCCGGAGACAGCUGGCUUGUCGAGUAUUUGGCUCCGGUCGCUCUCAGGCUUUUAGAGAGAACACUCAGUAACUUAGCAGCUAUAAAUAAAUGAGAUGUAUCACCCAAACGUAAACCGAACCCCGAUAAGUUCCCUUCACUUGGUGCCAGAAAUGUUAAAUUUAUCUAAAAUAAGAAAAAGCAUUUUCUGAUGUUAAUGUAGAUUUUAUUUUAAAUAGCAAAGUGAUUUAGGCCGUAAAUGUAGAACAUUUCAUUUCCACGAGUGGCGGGCACAACAAAACUGUUAUUGCUACAAGGGUGCAGCAGGAAUGCAAAACUGAGACUUUGCUUUGGCUCCCACGCUAAGCUCUGAACAUUCUGAGGAACAUCGUCAGAUAUAAACAGUCAGCAGGAGAGGUGGGAGUCAGCAGACCUGGACAGGAAGACAAUCUGAAUACAGGACGUGGCUCGAUGCACGCAGGUGAGGACCGAAGGACAAACCUCAGCCUAUUUUCUGCUCUGCUGCUGGGCGUUCCCAGGUUCACAGCCGCAGCUGCGGGUCAGCUGCACCGAGGAAAGGUUAAUGGCGCCGGUUUCAUCCAUGUAGGCGAUGGAUACCAUCUUCUGGGAAGCGGGCUGACAGCAUGGCAAAUCGGCCUGGAGAAAGAAAUUAAAGUGUUGGUGAUCAACUUAACAUCUAAAAACAUAAUGAAGCCAACUUUUAGCAACUUUUAUGUUUCAUAUUAAAUAACAUCAAAUAAAUUCUCCACAGAUGUUCAGUCCGGAUUAGCUAAUCUCUGUUUUAAUACCACCCCUAUUACCACGUGCAUUCUGGCAUGUGCCAGGUAAAGGUCAGAACGAACGGCGUAUCUCAGAAACACACCAAGGUAAACAAAGUUACGUGCUGAUUGUUGCCACACAGACAUGGAUGAAGGAAAAACAGCUCGUCUCCAGCUGAGACUUAAUGAUGAUACCUGGAUGCUGGAGGAGGAGGAUGAAGGACACUGCACGCUGUUGUCCACAGGGUUGCACGCGGCACACUGAACAAUGGUCAGGCUCACAGGAUGGAUCAUCCAGGUGUCCCAGCCCAGAUCUCAGAGGCCAUGGAGCAGCACUGGAGGCCUGUGCUGUUUCCACCGUCAUGUGAUUCUGAGACGUCAGAGGCUCCUGGAGGAAGAUGGAUGAUGUAAAUGUAGCAGCACAGGAUUAGAAUAACAAUAAAGCAAUU